UGGGGGAAUUUUGGACAAUGGGCGAAAGCCUGAUCCAGCAAUGCCGCGUGUGUGAAGAAGGCCUUCGGGUUGUAAGGCACUUUUGUCCGGAAAGAAAUCCUUGGCUCUAAUACAGUCGGGGGAUGACGGUACCGGAAGAAUAAGCACCGGCUAACUACGUGCCAGCAGCCGCGGUAAUACGUAGGGUGCAAGCGUUAAUCGGAAUUACUGGGCGUAAAGCGUGCGCAGGCGGUUUGCUAAGACCGAUGUGAAAUCCCCGGGCUCAACCUGGGAACUGCAUUGGUGACUGGCAGGCUAGAGUAUGGCAGAGGGGGGUAGAAUUCCACGUGUAGCAGUGAAAUGCGUAGAGAUGUGGAGGAAUACCGAUGGCGAAGGCAGCCCCCUGGGCCAAUACUGACGCUCAUGCACGAAAGCGUGGGGAGCAAACAGGAUUAGAUACCCUGGUAGUCCACGCCCUAAAACGAUGUCAACUAGUUGUUGGGGAUUCAUUUCCUUAGUAACGUAGCUAACGCGUGAAGUUGACCGCCUGGGGAGUACGGUCGCAAGAUUAAAACUCAAAUGAAUUGACGGGGUCAUAGCUGUUUCCU
rnacentral:rRNA from 1 species